UACAGAGGUGGCAAGCGUUGUUCGGAAUUACUGGGCGUAAAGGGCGCGUAGGCGGUUCGUUAAGUCCUGUGUGAAAUCCCCCGGCUCAACUGGGGAACUGCACAGGAAACUAGCGGGCUUGAGUUCGGGAGAGGGAAGCGGAAUUCCAGGUGUAGCGGUGAAAUGCGUAGAUAUCCGGAGGAACACCGGUGGCGAAGGCGGCUUCCUGGACCGACACUGACGCUGAGGCGCGAAAGCUAGGGGAGCAAACGGG
rnacentral:rRNA from 1 species